CUUCGCCUGUGAGUUCACCUGUAAAUAAACCUUCUUAAUGCCAUUUUGCACCUCGCCUGCAUCUAGUCGGACCUGGAACUUGGUGUCAUUAUCCUUCGCUUGCGCCGGUGCAAUACGCUUUCCUGGUGUUUGCUUCUGGAACAACUUUUUAUAAAGUCCCCUCUUAAAAAGAGCUUCCUCAAACUGCUUGAGAACCUUAGACAUAGCUUUUGUAAAUUAAGGCUUAUUGAAAUUCAAGAAAAAUGUAUGUUUAUCAACAUUGAUGUAAGCAGGAAUUUGAUAACUAGUCAAUGAAAAGAAUUGCAAC
rnacentral:sRNA from 2 species